UGAGUUCAUUCACCCAAGACAAAAGUGCCAGGGUCUUCGGGCCUCAUGGAAAAACGGUACCAACAGCUCAUGGAAAAGUGGUAGCAACAGCCUUAAUGGCACUCAGUCUUUCCCUUUGGUCCUCAUAACAGCAUUCCUGGAUGUCCCGUCUUUCUUUAAAAAGCGAGGCUUUCUUAGUUCGUCCUACCUUUAACAUCCUACGGUUCCCAACUGUUUGAAGUGAUUAAAUAUGACUCAAAAGUAUGACAGAUCAUGAUCAUGAUCAUGCAGUAAAAAAGAGCAGGAACCCAUUUUCAUCAAUGUACUCGACUCGAGGAUGACGGAGUGACUAGGUGAUCUCGGUGAUCGGGUUGCUUUCAUGAAUAAGAACAGGAACCCUUUUGUGGACAAGAUUGUAGGAUAGCAGCAGCUCCCUCUCUCUCUCUCUCUCUCUCUCUCUCUCUCUCUCUCUCUCUCGCAACUUGGAAGAGGUCUAGAAAAUUUUGGUCUUUUUUAUGUUUUGAAUGAUACAAGAAUAUGUUUUGGUAAAAUUCUCUUGGAUAAAGAAUAAGAAAAAAAGAAAGUUGGGCUUAGACUGAUAUCCAAAUGGGCCUAUCUCAGCUUCACAUUUUGCUCUC